rnacentral:lncRNA from 1 species
AUUCUAAGACUUCUAGAGAAAAAUAAUGAGGGGUGUCACGGGGUAUGACUAUAUAGGUCUUGUAGAAAAGAAACAGGCGUUUCUUUUGCACUAGGUAUCGAAGGGCGCUAUGUUCAAAAAUCUGAAACUAGAGCUCAAAAUUCGAAAAAAAUGUCCAAAAAAUGGGGGUAGGGUCGGCCUAUUCCAGGAGUUCUAGAGAAAAAUAAUGAGGGGUGUCACGGGAUAUGACUAUAUAGGUCUUGUAGAACAGAAACAGGCGCUUCUUUUGCGCUAGGUAUCGAAGGGCGCUAUGUUCAAAAAUCUGAAACUAGAGCUCAAAAUUUGAAAAAAAUGUCAAAAAAUUAGGGGGGUCGGCCUAUUCCAGGGCUUCUAGAGAAAAAUAAUGAGGGGUGUCACGGAGAAUGACUAUAUAGGUCUUGUAGAAGAGAAACAGGCGCUUCUUUUGCGCUAGGUAUCGAAGGGCGCUAUGUUCAAAAAUCUGAAACUAGAGCUCAAAAUUUGAAAAAAAUGUCAAAAAAUUAGGGGGGUCGGCCUAUUCUAGGACUUCUAGAGAAAAAUAAUGAGGGGUGUCACGGGAAUGACUAUAUAGGUCUUGUAGAGGAGAAACAGGUGCUUCUUUUGCGCUAGGUAUCGAAGGGCGCUAUGUUCAAAAAUCUGAAACUAGAGCUCAAAAUUUGAAAAAAAUGUCAAAAAAUUAGGGGGGUCGGCCUAUUCCAGGACUUCUAGAGAAAAAUAAUGAGGGGUGUCACGGGGAACGACUAUAUAGGUCUUGUAGAGGAUAAACAGGCCCUUCUUUUGCGCUAGGUAUCGACGGGCGCUAUUUUCAAAAAUCUGAAACUAGAGCUCAAAAUUUGGAAAAAAAUGUCAAAAAAUUAGGGGGUCGGCCUAUUCUAGGAUUUCUAGAGAAAAAUAAUGAGGGGUGUCACGGGGUAUGACUAUAUAGGUCUUGUAGAGGAGAAACAGGCGCUUCUUUUGCACUAGGUAUCGAAGGGCGCUAUGUUCAAAAAUCUGAAACUAGAGCUCAAAAUUUGAAAAAAAAUGUCAAAAAAAUAGGGGGGUCGGCCUAUUCCAGGACUUCUAGAGAAAAAUAAUGAGGGGUGUCACGGGCAAUGACUAUAUAGGUCUUGUAGAGGAGAAACAGGCGCUUCUUUUGCGCUAGGUAUCGAAGGGCGCUAUGUUCAAAAAUCUGAAACUAGAGCUCAAAAUUUGAAAAAAAAAUGUCAAAAAUUAGGGGGGUCGGCCUAUUCUAGGACUUCUAGAGAAAAAUAAUGAGGAGUG